ACCAUGGUCCGUGUACGGAUCUGGUAAUUGGAUAUUCCGUUCUGAAACAGACCGGAAGUGGUCAUCAGCAAGUGUGGAGCCAAACGACAAGAUUCUCAGAGGGCGGAGCCAGAGAGCAGUGAUUGGUCAGACCAUAGAUACUAUAGAAGACAGCGCGCUAGCGUAUCCAGUCUGCUUUAUAUAUCUAUGGUUAGCACGUCUGGUAGCAUCUCUGGCUGCUGUUGACCUUCUUUUUGGAGUAAAACACGGUGGAAGCUGAAUUAGUGAGGAUGACUCCUGCUCCUGUCAUCUCUAAGCUCCUCACACAUCUUUACCUGCACAUGAGGAAAAUCACUCCUGUAGAAUGCAGAUGUUCAGAAGGAGAUGAUGCCACAUCUGGUCCAGACGAUGGAAGGUCUUGAAGUUCUCUGACUGGCCUCGACUGAAGAUGGUCGUCUCACUGGAUUUAAGGUUCAGAUGCUCAGUAACAAACUCCACCAAUGAGCCAACAGGGAAGCUUUAGGUUUAUUAAAUGUUGCUAUGAAGGUUUCGCUGUUUUUCUUUGUGAAUGCAAUGUGCUCCAACUGAAACUUGAAUUAGAACUUAGAAGUAAAUCCUUCCAUCUGAAAGGUUUUAGUUGCAUUAAUAACCUCAUAACAUUCUAAUUUUUAUUCCAGUCUUGGUUGGAAAUAGAAUCUCUGGAUUGAUUCAGGUAAAAACUGAACUUCACAGCAUGUUGCAGCAAAACAACCAGAUGAAAACUGUGAUGGUGUUGGAUUGUCAGACCGUAAUGUUGCAGCUCAAAGCAGCUUUUCUAGCUCAGUUCAUUCUGACAUUCAGCUAUGAAUCAACACAGCAGAUGGUGAUCCAUGCUGUGGAAGUCUCACAUCUCCUGAUUUAAUGGAGCUGCUUUGCACUUUUUACACUGUUUAUUCACCAACACUUUAUUUAAUAAAAGUCCCAUCUAGUUUUUAUGAGGAAUGUGAUGCUUUAAUUUCUCUGUGAAUAACUGCAGUCUAAUGCAACAGCUGGAAUUGUAACAUCUGUCCUGAUAUUGAUCAUGAAGUAUUGAUCAGAAUACUUAUGGUCAGCAGUCAUCCCUGAAGUUUUACUUUAAAAUCUUUACUUGUGAUGUGAACUUUGGUAAGAAGCAGAAACUUUUGCGUUGCCAUGGAUACAUGAGUGUUAAAUUCUGUCCAUGUUUCCAUUUUGGGAAAUUCAGUCCAGCAGAUGAGUUUGUUUUUACUGCCAGCUACCAUUCAGUCUGAGAUAUUAAGAAUAAAUAAAUAUGUAUAAUGUGGAAAUUAACAGAGUUUAUUUUUAUUUAUUCCUACACCUGCUGCAUUUAAAGUUCCAGAAUGUGGAGGAAUUUAGGAUCACAAUAACAGACAAUAAUAUUAUCUGAAAGUCGGGUUAUUGUUGUUUAUCAGCACAAUACAAAAAGAUUAAUGUUAGAAAUAUUCCAGUUAAGACUCUAGAAUAUCAUGAUUUAUCUAAAUUUACCUCAAUAAUAUGAAUGUUCAGGUUAAGAUUGUACAGUGAUAUUUAUUAUGUAAG
ensembl:lncRNA